AGAGUUUGAUCCUGGCUCAGGAUGAACGCUGGCGGCGUGCCUAACACAUGCAAGUCGAACGGAGUUUAUAUUAUGAAGUUUUCGGAUGGAUUAAUAUAAACUUAGUGGCGGACGGGUGAGUAACGCGUGGGUAACCUGCCUCAUACUGGGGAAUAACAACCGGAAACGGUUGCUAAAACCGCAUAAUAUGCGAAUGUCGCAUGAUGAUCGCAUUAAAUAUUUAUAGGUAUGAGAUGGACCCGCGUCUGAUUAGCUAGUUGGUGAGAUAAAAGCUCACCAAGGCGACGAUCAGUAGCCGGCUUGAGAGAGUGACCGGCCACAUUGGGACUGAGACACGGCCCAAACUCCUACGGGAGGCAGCAGUGGGGAAUAUUGCACAAUGGGGGAAACCCUGAUGCAGCGACGCCGCGUGAGUGAAGAAGUAUUUCGGUAUGUAAAGCUCUAUCAGCAGGGAAGAAAAUGACGGUACCUGACUAAGAAGCCCCGGCUAACUACGUGCCAGCAGCCGCGGUAAUACGUAGGGGGCAAGCGUUAUCCGGAUUUACUGGGUGUAAAGGGAGCGUAGGUGGCAAGUCAAGUCAGAUGUGAAAGCCCGGGGCUCAACCCCGGGAUUGCAUUUGAAACUGGUUUGCUAGAGUGCAGGAGAGGUAAGUGGAAUUCCUAGUGUAGCGGUGAAAUGCGUAGAUAUUAGGAGGAACACCAGUGGCGAAGGCGGCUUACUGGACUGUAACUGACACUGAGGCUCGAAAGCGUGGGGAGCAAACAGGAUAAGAUACCCUGGUAGUCCACGCCGUAAACGAUG
rnacentral:rRNA from 1 species